CCUGAUUUCUAGACUUUGAAGCGAAGUGAGGUGCGAAAACUGGCCUUGUUCCAGCAUUGACUGAAUUUGAGGUAAAUUACCCAUAAUACAUAGAUAUUGAAGAGAGGUGAGGCUUUUGAGAUGUUGGCUGCUUAAUGUUUUCACAUUGUUUAUUGUAAGUGUUUGAAUAGAGGAAGGCAACUCCCAAUUCUCACCAUCAACAAUCUCUUCGUCACUGCCAUCAUGGUAGAU